CACUUACAUCUCUUUUGAAACAAUCAUCUCAAUUUCGGCUGGCCAAUGAACUGACAAGUGUAGGUAGUGUGAUACACGAGGGGCCAGUCUUUCGUUACCACGACAAGGGUCUCUGGCUCAGUGAGUGGACUUUGACAGUCAUUUUUGCUACAAGU
ensembl:snoRNA SNORA62 Small nucleolar RNA SNORA62/SNORA6 family